CCUACGGGCGGCAGCAGUGGGGAAUAUUGGGCAAUGGACGCAAGUCUGACCCAGCAACGCCGCGUGAAGGAAGAAGGCUUUCGGGUUGUAAACUUCUUUUAAGGGGGAAGAGCAGAAGACGGUACCCCUUGAAUAAGGCCUGGCCAACUACGUGCCAGCAGCCGCGGUAAUACGUAGGUGGCAAGCGUUGUCCGGAAUUACUGGGUGUAAAGGGCGUGCAGCCGGGGAGACAAGUCAGGUGUGAAAUCCACGGGCUCAACCCGUGAACUGCAUUUGAAACUGUUUCCCUUGAGUGUCGGAGGGGUAAUCGGAAUUCCUAGUGUAGCGGUGAAAUGCGUAGAUAUUAGGAAGAACACCAGUGGCGAAGGCGGAUUACUGGACGGUAACUGACGGUGAGGCGCGAAAGCGUGGGGAGCAAACAGGAUUAGAUACCCGGGUAGUC
rnacentral:rRNA from 1 species